rnacentral:rRNA from 1 species
UACGGAGGGUGCAAGCGUUAUCCGGAUUCACUGGGUUUAAAGGGUGCGUAGGUGGUUUUGUAAGUCAGUGGUGAAAGCCCGGAGCUCAACUCCGGAACUGCCAUUGAUACUGCUUAACUUGAAUCAACUUGAGGUGGAUGGAAUAUUACAUGUAGCGGUGAAAUGCUUAGAUAUGUAAUAGAACACCGAUUGCGAAGGCAGUUCACUAAGGUUGUAUUGACACUGAGGCAACGAAAGCGUGGGGAUCAAACAGG